GGUGCGUGCCUCCUGGCGGUCAAUGAUCGUCUGGCGACUGUCCCGCAGGCGGUGGUUACCACGGUGAGCAACAACAUUGCAGACGUCGACGCAUUCGUUGACACCAUGAUCGACCAAAUUUACUACAUCACCAGAGAUGACUUGACAUUCACGAAAGAUCUUCUGUUUUCGGAUUUAGAUAAUAUUGAAGCUCAGCUCGGAGUGCCUAUGAAGACAGCAAUAGAGUCGGAACUUGGGCUAGAGCAUGCACUAAACGCCGUCACAAGCUUGG